CAGUAGCAAAACUGAGUAUCACUUUUACAUAGUGAUACUUUAUAGUUUAUAAAGCAUAUUCACAUGCAUCAUCUCAACAACAUAUACAUAUUUAACAAUCUUGUGAUAUAGUCAGAUUAGGCAUAAUUAUUUGCUUUAUCCCCUCCACUUUUUUUUAAGCUCAAAAGGAAACUUCGAUGCUCAAGGAUAAUAAAUGACUUGUUCAAGGUAACUAUUUAGCAAGUACUACAAAACUCAAAUCUAAAUUUUCUGGAUUCCUAACCCAGUGGUCUUUAUACUUAUACUUUAGCUUGCUUGGUUCUAGUCUAGUUGGGGCAAUUAACCACUGGAUCUCCCUGUGGUAUCGUUUCCUCACUUAUAAAAAUGUCUAGAUUGGACGAGAUACUAUCUAAGGCAGUAGUUUUCUUCAAACUUUUCUGACUGUAACCUAUGGUAAGUAACACACUUGACACUGCAAUCUAGUACACAUAUAAAUACAGUUAAAACAAGAACUGCAUGAAAUAAUACUUACCCUUACUAGGAGCCAUACAAGACCAUUUCACUAACAAGACGUACAAAAGGGAAAUGCUGGAUGUGACUGGCCCUACUGAUUUCACUGACCUAACACUGCAUGACAACCCCAAUUUGAAAACACUGCUUUAAGGAGACCCACUGUACUGUUCUAGGACUGCCUCUAAAAUAUAGGUAAGAAUAUGACAUUUCUUAUUUGAAGGAAAUUGGAGGCAAAUCUUUUUAUAAAACCAACAUUCUAUGGCAUAAAUAAAUCAAGUUUUAGACAUAUGUACCAUACUAGCUAGUCAGAUUUCUGGCAACCUCAAUCAAAAAAUAAACCUACAAGUUCUCUGGGUCAAAAUAUCAUAUUCUGCAUAUUUAAUAAUAUAUAUAUAUAUUUAUUGACUCAACACACAAUUCUAACAAAUUUUUCCCAGGCUACAAGAAGGUAAAAUAUGACAAAGAGUAACCAGGUUUUGAAGGAAGAACAAAUGAAAAGCUUAGGAAGCAUAUAUGAACUACCAAAGCACAACAUAACCUAGGAAUUUUUAACAAUCUAGGAUCAAUUUUUAAUCUGGGACAUAAAGCCAGAUCUAUAUGUGGUUAAUAUAUACAGUUUGCUUCCAUUAUUAUGUAGGUGCUUUUAAGUUUUAAAUGACAGAUAUGCAUAUCUCUCAAACUAUUCUGUAAAACUGUUGUUUUUCCUCUUAAGUAUACAUCUGCCCAAAUAUUUUUAUUAAUAUUUCUAUACAGAGGAAAGGAAUGAACCAGGAAAAUAAAAGUUCCAGGAAAAACAGGAAAUCCUCAAAGACCAAUACUAGUGGUCUCACUGGUGAUCUGGGUCAUACAAUGUGCACAGCAGAGCUGAAAUUACCAGUAAUGGUUCACGACAGAGAAGGGUCAAUACAUUCCCUUAAUGACCAUGAGCAGAACUGUUGUGGUCUAGGGAAAAGUACUUGUCCCACGUGGAAACAAUCAGAAUUUCUCUCCAGAAAUCUGAAACUUGACCAGGGGUACAGAAAGAAAGAAGGCGCCCGGAGCUGAGGCAUCUGAGGACAGCACUGCAGGAGAGGGUCAGUGAGUCCCUGCUUUGGUGAUCUGAGGCUCCCUGGUUUUUGCUCUUCUAAAGACUUGUUUUUUCCAACUCUUCCAUUAAUUCUGUGAGUUACCCUAGAAUCCCUCCAAUGAAUUCAUUUUUGGUCCCUC